UUUUUUUAGACACGUUUAAAAAAAAAAAAUAUCAAUUUAAAAAAUGAUUAGUCAUAUGUGAUUAGCGUUAUCUAAGAAUCGACUGCAACUAGCACAACCGAGCAGUGUCCCGACUUUCGAUUAAUUUUCAGUUGCACUUUGAGCUCCACAAGCAACUGACGUGACCAUGAAGACUAGAGGUCCUCGAUUCCUAGAUGAGGUCCUCUAGUCUUCAUGGAUGUGACACUAAAAUUAAAUAAGGAUCCAACAUCUCCAUCAUCUCAUGAAUUAUUAAUUAAAACAUCAUCAUCACACAGUCAAUCAAUUAGUCACACAGUGACUUAUCAGUUGAAAAAGGAUGGGUACGUCAAUUAAUUUUUGUUUGUGACUUUAAAUUAUAUUUUUGGUGUUCGUUCAGUACGUGAGUCUGAUGUUAUUCAUGCAACUAAAAAAGACAUUCCAUGCAUAUUCAGGAUUACAACGUCUUUGCUGGAACGACCUGGUUUAAGAAAUCAUACGUUGAUGUUGGCUGAUACAGAAAGUGAAAAAACUAAAUGGGUUGUUGCAUGCAUUGAGUAAAUUACAUAUAGAAUAUUAAAAAGAAAUAAUCUUCCAAACACUCGGAUAGUAUUUCUUCCAAGUGAUAGAAAGUUGGAUGAUCUUGUGGGUUUUUUUUCUUACGGACUGCCAUAAUAUCAUAUAUUUUUUGAGUUGAAUACUCAGGUUUGGCUAAUCUAGAUCAAUUCUUUUAAAAGAAAUAUAGUCGUUUCCCGCCCUAACCUGGAUACGGUGUCAUUCCAAGAGUGAAAAUUUCCCAUAGUAGCACUCCAAAAGCCCAAACAUCUGAUUCAGUUAAAUAUAUCUUAUUAUAUUCAAUAUGAUUUCCAUGUUCUUGAUAUUUUUUUAGACAUUUUUAGCUAGCCCAAAAUCACAAAUUUUUACAAUAUUUCCAUUGUUUAUUUCGAGAUACCCCAUGGUAAUUUAGCAGCACGUCUAAUGGAAAUAUUGCGAAAAUUUGUGAUUUUGGGUUAGCUAAAAAUGUUUACAAGAACAGAAUUUAGAACGGAUCUAGAUUAGCCAAAUCUGAGCAUUCACCUAAAAAAAUAUAUGAUAUUAUGGUGCUCUGUUGGAAAAAAAAUA